AUAUUUUACUUGGAGGUCUUGUUAUAAUGCAGAUUCUGAUCUAAUAGGUGUGUGUUAAGGCCUGAGAUUCUGCAUUUCUAACAAGCUCACAAGUGAUGACGAU
rnacentral:pre_miRNA from 1 species